rnacentral:rRNA from 1 species
AGGACGAACGCUGGCGGCGCGCUUAACACAUGCAAGUCGAGCGAGAACCUCGUCCUUCGGGACUUGGGACGAGCGGCGAACGGGUGAGUAACACGUGAGUAAUCCACCCUUGGUACCGGGAUAGCCCGGGGAAACUCGGAUUAAUACCGGAUGGCCCAUCAGCUUUUCGGAGCGGAUGGAAAAGGUAGCUUCGGCCUCCGACCAAGGACGAGCUCGCGGCGGAUUAGCUUGUUGGCGGGGUAACGGCCCACCAAGGCGACGAUCCGUAGCUGGUCUGAGAGGACGAUCAGCCACACUGGGACUGAGACACGGCCCAGACUCCUACGGGAGGCAGCAGUGGGGGAAUCUUGCGCAAUGGGCGAAAGCCUGACGCAGCGACGCCGCGUGAGGGAAGAAGGCCUUCGGGUUGUAAACCUCUUUCAGAAGGGACGAAGCCACUCGGGUUAAUAGCCCAGAGGGUGACGGUACCUUCAGAAGAAGCCCCGGCUAACUACGUGCCAGCAGCCGCGGU